rnacentral:lncRNA from 1 species
GAGACACUGGUAUGGCAUACAGGUGAGAUGUAAUGGUACAUCUGCACUGAACGUGACCAACUCCGGAGCUAUUUCUGCUGUCAAGAUUUGCUCCGAUGGGAUAUGGGUAUAAAUGUCCCUCUGACCUGAGACCGCAAUGGUGACUUGCAAGCAACUCACUGCACUUAGGCACUGGACUACCUGAAUUUCUAAUUCAAUGACGGAAGGCUGCUG